rnacentral:misc_RNA from 1 species
GAUGAAGAACGUAGCGAAAUGCGAUACUUGGUGUGAAUUGCAGAAUCCCGUGAACCAUCGAGUCUUUGAACGCAAGUUGCGCCCGAAGCCUCGGCUAAGGGCACGUCUGCCUGGGCGUCACGCAUCGCGUCUCCCCCAAACCGCCAAGGCGGAGGGGAAGGAAGAUGGCUUCCCGUGCCUCACCCGGCGCGGUUGGCCUAAAUUUGGAGCCCGCGGCACUUAGCUCUCGCGGCGAUAGGUGGUGAACAAGGCCUUGGCCGUGCAAACACCCCGCUGCGAAGCUCUAUGUCACGUGCGCUCGUCGGACCCUUUGAAGUUGCCUUCGGUGACUUAAAACCUUUGCGACCCCAGGUCAGGCGGGGCUACCCGCUGAAUUUAAGCAUAUCAAUAAGCGGAGGA